AUGGAUUAAGUUGUACCACUUUCGUGGUGUUUAGACGUAUUACAUGAUUUUUUGAACAUAACUGUAGUACGGCUAGAACUCCACGGAUGUUGGCAAUAUAGUCAUC
rnacentral:pre_miRNA from 1 species